UUGCUGUGAGGUGUAUGUGUGGUAAAAGAUGUCCUACUGUGGGACUGAGUUUCUGUGAGGAGUCUGUGCAAGGUCAGUUUUGCCCUCCUGUUGGCUUAACAUGUUUCUGUCAGAACACAUGGUUAUAUUUGAGUGUACUUGUUCUGAAGGCGACAGUAUAGACAUGUAACUUUUAAGUGCAACCUCACACGUGAACGUUUUAACCAACUGCAUCCUGUUGCCUCACAUUUGGUUGAAAAAUCACAAGGGAAGUCCUGCUCUGCACAACAGACUGAUUCAGAAGCAGCCUCCACAUGGUUUUUUUAGGGGUAAAAUGGUAGAAUUCAUGAAGUCUUUCUGUACAGCAUUGGAUAUAGAAGAUAUGCUUGUUGCCAUGUGAGCCUGAGGCUUAGAGACUUCAGCACUUCAAUUAGCUCCACCAGAGCCAGUUUUGGUACCUCUGCAUGACUCUGCAGAAAGUAACAGGCAUAUCCCAGUCCAUGUGGAUUGUGACUGUUGAAUCUUAAAAAUAUCCAGGUUGGCAGUCACCUCGAGAAAUUUUACUGUCAAACCUCCUGUUGAAAGCAGGGCUAUAGACUGAGGUACCCAGGGUCCCAUCAAACUGAGCUUUGAAUAUCUUCAGCAGGGGAAAUUAUGCUACUCUGAAUUUUUCAGUGUCUGUCUUGGACAAGGAAGACGGAAUCUGGACACCACAUCCCAGGUGUGGCCUAACAGAAAGGACUAUGAAAGUGUGGAUGUUACUGUAAAAGGAGACCAGCAGCCCCUUCUGCAAUAAUAUUCCCAAAAUACACUUUUAACUAUAAUUUUACUUCCAGUGAUUUCAUAAAAUAUGACAUUCACAACUGCUGCAGUGGACUAAGAACACAAAGUACUUUUAACUUCUCCCCUGUCAUGUUUCCCUCCAGCUCUGCUGUAAUCUUACCUCCCACCAGGAACCGUUGAGCUCCAUCCAGAUCUGCAGCCUUCUCAUUCGAGUUUAAUGCUGUUUCCUUCCUCCUGGUCUGUCUCCAGUACCUCAGCACCUCUGCUGAGGACCUUCGCAGCACUUACCCAGCCAUCCUCCAGCAGCAUAGCACGACACUCUCCUCACUCCAUGUGACUCCUGGACUUUGCAAAGAAGCGCUGUUGAGGAACUACUACUGCAACCCAGCUCUGUCUGCUUCCUGAAGUGCCACCCAGUGCUCAUCAACCACAAACAGCUGACAGACAGGAUUGGACCUGUUGUUAUCAUCAGUUGUUAUCAUCUCACUCAUCAAGUUCAUGGAUGAAGAUAUGUUUUGUUCUGUCCAACAUUUGAUAAACAUGUUCAGUUAUUGCAAAAUGCAUUUUCCUGUAAGUGGCUAUAGGUGAAAGAAAGAGAAAUAAUUGUAAUGAAAAUUAAUAUAACACAUGUGAGUAUGUGUUUGUGAUAUAUAUAGACAUAAGUAUCUCUCUCCUGUGGUAUGAAGGCUACUCAGCCUCUCAGCAGGAUUAUCUCAGUUGCUCACAUGAUACCUCAGAGGAACUUUCCUCAGGAUACAGUGAUAAAACAUCUGUAGCAACCCUGAAGCUGGGCAUCCUGAAUAGCUGAAAAUGUUCUGGUACUCCUGAAAUGCUUCUAUCGCUUGAUCAAACAAUAGUCUUCCAGAGAGAUGUAAGCAUCCACUCUGCAUAUGCUUUUUGUAUACUGCAGUUGUUUUAUAAUUGAAAAGUACUGACUCAAACUUUUUAUAAACAAAGAGAAUGAAGCAUGUGAAAAGGAGAAGGAUGUGGGGUGAAUUUGCUAUAAGAUACCAUGAUCUUCUUUGUAAUACACUGUUUUAUAAUAAUAAUUCUUAAUUGUAGCCAUUUCAUACAUCUGCUACCAGAAAUCUGUCAGAGAAACAAAGGUACCUGCAAAGCUGAAAUUAUUCCUUGGCCCCAUUUAAUUUCAAAAAGUCAUUCUCUAUCAGUGACAUGGCAGAAUAGCUACAAAACCCAGCCAUGCAACAAGUAGCAGGGUAGGACAAACUCAUAUUUCAAAAUCUUGAUGUUGCAUUCCCAGGAGCUCAGUAUGAAUAAUAAAAGUGUUCAGAAUAAGGAUGUCCUCUUUCUUCCAAAUUAAGGGCAUAUGCUUGGGGAUUUUAAAUCCAAAAGCUCAUUAAAUGUUCUGUCCUAUUCCCCUGUUAAGAUUCCACCAGAUAAAAAGCAAGAUUUGUAGAAAAUAUCAUACUUUCUCUAACAAUGUCUUACUGCUCUUUUCAAGGUUUAAUAAAGAAACUGUUUUUCCAAUAA